rnacentral:rRNA from 1 species
CCUACGGGUGGCAGCAGUGGGGAAUAUUGGGCAAUGGGCGCAAGCCUGACCCAGCAACGCCGCGUGCAGGAAGAAGGCUUUCGGGUUGUAAACUUCUUUUCUGAGGGACGAAGAAAGUGAUGGUACCUCAGGAAUAAGCCACGGCUAACUACGUGCCAGCAGCCGCGGUAAUACGUAGGUCGCAAGCGUUAUCCGGAUUUAUUGGGUGUAAAGGGCGUGUAGGCGGGAAAGCAAGUCAGAUGUGAAAACUCAGGGCUCAACCCUGAGCCUGCAUUUGAAACUGUUUUGCUUGAGUGCUGGAGAGGCAAUCGGAAUUCCGUGUGUAGCGGUGAAAUGCGUAGAUAUACGAAGGAACACCAGUGGCGAAGGCAGAUUGCUGGACAGUAACUGACGCUGAGGCGCGAAAGCGUGGGGAGCAAACAGGAUUAGAUACCCUUGUAGUC